GCAUACAGACUGCUGCCACGCUGGCUGGCUAGGUCGCUCUCUAAGGCAUAUUACGUACAAGACUGGGACACUUCAGGAUGGGACAGCUAUUGGAAUAAUCUCUGUUAUUUGCCAGUUACCUAAAGCCUGGACAUUUGAGUGCUUCUGUGUGCCGUCCAACCUGGUGACUACUGGACACAAAGCCCUACAUGGCUAGAGCCACCUCUUCUUCAUGCCCUGGACUCCCAGCUGCUGCAGACUGCCAGCAUUGGGAUUGCUGUCCAUCAAUACUCCUGGGACUGCAGAUGUCCAUCAGUACACCUGGAAUUAAAGAUGUCCAUCAACACACCUGGGAUUGAAGAUGUCCGUCAAUACACUUAGGAUUGAAGAUGUCCAUCAGUACACCUGGGACUGCAGAUGUCCAUCAGCACACCUGGGACUGCAGAUGUCCAUCAGUACACCUGGGAUUGCAGAUGUCUAUCAGUACUCCUGGGACUGCAGAUGUCAAUACACCUGGGAUUGAAGAUGUCCAUCAGUAAACCUGGGAUUGAAGAUGUCCAUCAGUACACCUGGAAUUACAGAUGUCCAUCAGUACACCUGGGAUUGCAGAUGUCCAUCAGGACACCUGGGAUUGCAGAUGUCCAUCAACACACCUGGGACUGCAGAUGUCCAUCAACACACCUGGGACUGCAGAUGUCCAUCAACACACUAGGGGUUGAAGAUGUCCAUCAAUACACCUGGGAUUGCAGAUGUCCAUCAGUACACCUGGAAUUACAGAUGUCCAUCAGUACACCUGGGAUCGCAGAUGUCCAUCAACACACCUGGGACUGCAGAUGUUCAUCAACACACUUGGGAUUGAAGAUGUCCAUCAACACACCUGGGACUGCAGAUGUCCAUCAACACACCUGGGACUGCAGAUGUCCAUCAACACACCUGGGAUUGCAAAUGUCCAUCAGUACACCUGGGACUACAGAUGUCCAUCAAUAACCUGGCUUCUUUUAUGGGUCUGUAGACCCUAACUCAGGUCCUCAUGCUUAUAUGGAAAGCCCUUUAUGGAUUUAUCCAGCUCCCCCAACCCCUUAACUUUAAAAAAUAUUUACCUAC